rnacentral:rRNA from 1 species
AAUCAACGCUGGCGGCGUGCCUAACACAUGCAAGUCGAACGCGAGAGGGGCUUCGGCCCUGAUUGAGUGGCAAACGGGUGAGUAACGCGUGGGUGACCUACCUUCGAGUGGGGGAUAACGUUCCGAAAGGGACGCUAAUACCGCAUAACAUCCUGUCUUUGGACAGAUGGAGAUCAAAGCCGGGGAUCGUAAGACCUGGCGCUUGAGGAGGGGCCCGCGUCCGAUUAGCUAGUUGGUGGGGAAUGGCUCACCAAGGCAACGAUCGGUAGCCGGCCUGAGAGGGCGGACGGCCACACUGGGACUGAGACACGGCCCAGACUCCUACGGGAGGCAGCAGUGGGGAAUUUUGGGCAAUGGGCGAAAGCCUGACCCAGCAACGCCGCGUGAGGGAGGAAAUCCUUCGGGAUGUAAACCUCACAAGCAAGGGAAGAGAGCUCAGGGCCGAAUAAGCUUUGAGUCCGACGGUACCUUGCGUAAGCCACGGCUAACUACGUGCCAGCCGCCGCAGU